rnacentral:rRNA from 1 species
GACGGAGGAUGCAAGCGUUAUCCGGAAUGAUUGGGCGUAAAGCGUGCGUAGGUGGUUUCUUAAGUCCGUUGUGAAAGCCCCCGGGCUCAACCUGGGGAAUGGCAGUGGAUACUGAGAGGCUAGAGUGUGUCAGAGGAUGGUGGAAUUCCCGGUGUAGCGGUGAAAUGCGCAGAUAUCGGGGAGGAACACCAAUGGCGAAGGCAGCUCGCUGGGACGUUACUGACGCUGAGGAGCGAAAGCGUGGGGAGCGAACAGG